rnacentral:misc_RNA from 1 species
AAGUCGUAACAAGGUCUCCGUUGGUGAACCAGCGGAGGGAUCAUUACAGAGUUUACCAAACUCCAUAACCCUAUGUGAAUUUACCUUUUGUUGCCUCGGCGAGCCUCUGGGGAUUCGUUCUAUGCCCGCCGGUGGCCCUUUAAAAUCUGUUAUUUAGUGGUUAUCUGAGCGUAUAAAACAAAUAAAGUUAAAA